UUCAAUUCAAUUCUUAACCUUAAUUCAUUAAGCCAAACUUUGAUCCGAAUAAAUCCCAAACCAAUCUUAUAUGCAUGACACAAUACAAAUCUUACCAAACCUAUGAGGCAAGGCCUCAAGAAAAUUUAUUUUUAAUUGAACUUGGAAGUUGAGGUAAAUAUAAUCUCAAUAUGUAUAAACAGGCUCCACGAUUGCACCGCAUUGCCAAAUUUAAAAAAUAUAUGUAUUGGCGAAGAUUAACUGGUCAUCAUAGUUCGAGACACGUGUAACCAUUUAUUGAGAGGAGAAGAAUAAUAGGCACGUGCUGACAAGGCCUUCGGGCUUUGGCCCACAUUAACAAGGGCAGAAUUACCAAAGCCCAUCCAUAAAAAUAAUGGUUAAUAGCAUUGUUUCGUCCCUAUACUCAUUAGACUUUCUUAAUGUGACCCCUCUACUUUUGUUUUAUCUACUGGGUCCUUUUACUCUCGAUGUUUUCUUAAUAUGGACCCUCCGAUGGAAUUUCGUUUAAUUUUCCGGCAACAUGUGACAGAUGGAAUGGCACGUUGGAAAUGGUUCUUGCUUCAGAUUAUGGCUGACCUCAAAAUCCCAAUGGGUCUUGAAAAUGGGUGGACAUUCAUUUCUGAUUUAAGGCCGAUACGACUGCAAAUCUACAAUAAGAAUGGGGAAGCUGGGGUGAAAGGCUGAAACAUGGAAAGGGAAAGGUAUAGAUACGACUACAGAUCAUAGGAGGCCCUUCGUAGUAGUUCACUUCAGGCGUUUGUGGUGAAGCUGCACAAACCAGUAAAGAUCUGUCAUCUUCAAAUUCAACAUUGUAGGACAAGGAGGAUACAUAUGAUGGGGUGAUGACAGUAGAGGAUGGAGAAUUAAUUUCUCCACCAACCAAUCUUUUAUAUGCUGAGGACUGGGAUGAUGAAGCUAUGGGUUGCAAACGAGAUUGUAAAUUAUAAUUGGAUAUCUUGUGACAUUGGGGAUUUUAGGGUUUGGAGAGGUGUGAAGAAGAAUUGGGAAUUCGCAGGCUUGUGUUGUAGCAAAUAGUUAAAGUGUAGUACUGGCUACAACAAAGUCAGAAUGAACUAACCUAUAGUGGCAAAUACACUGUAAACUGUAACAAAAUCAGUGUCAGAUCUGCUAGUUAAAUGUUUUCAUUUAAAUGCAUAUCAACUAACAUUGAGAUUCCCAA